GUCUAUGGUCAUGCCACCUUGAAUGUGCCCGAUCUCGUCUGAUCUCAGAAGCUAAGCAAGGUCAGGCCUGGUUAGUACUUGGAUGGGAGACCACUUAGGAAUACCAGGUGCUACAGGUG
rnacentral:rRNA from 1 species